GUCACAGAUGAUAUAAACAACGCCGUAACUUCUGUCACAGGUCCGUGACGUCACAGAUGAUAGAAACAACGCCGUAAUUUCUGUCACAGGUCCGUGACGUCACAGAUGAUAGAAAAACAACGCCGUAACGUCUCUAAUAGAUCUGUGACGUCACAGAUGAUAGAAACAACGCCGUAAUUUCUGUCACAGGUCCGUGACGUCACAGAUGAUAGAAACAACGCCGUAACUUCUGUCACAGGUCCGUGACGUCACAGAUGAUAGAAACAAGGCCGUAACGUCUCUCAGAGAUCUGUGACGUCACAGAUGAUAGAAAAACAACGCCGUAACUCCUGACACAGGUCCGUGACGUCAUAGAUGAUCGAAACAAGGCCGUAACUUCUGUAACAGGUCCGUGACGUCACAGAUGAUAAAAAAACAACGCCGUAACUCCUGACACAGGUCCGUGACGUCAUAGAUGAUCGAAACAAGGCCGUAACUUCUGUAACAGGUCCGUGACGUCACAGAUGAUAAAAAAACAACGCCGUAACGUCUCUAAUAGAUCUGUGACGUCACAGAUGAUAUAAACAACGCCGUAAUUUCUGUCACAGGUCCGUGACGUCACAGAUGAUAGAAACAACGCCGUAACUUCUGUCACAGGUCCGUGACGUCACAGAUGAUAGAAAAACAACGCCGUAACGUCUCUAAUAGAUCGGUGACGUCACAGAUGAUAGAAACAACGCCGUAACUUCUGUCACAGGUCCGUGACGUCACAGAUGAUAGAAAAACAACGCCGUAACGUCUCUAAUAGAUCGGUGACGUCACAGAUGAUAGAAACAACGCCGUAAUUUCUGUCACAGGUCCGUGACGUCAUAGAUGAUCGAAACAACGCUGUAACUUAUCUCAGAGAUCUGUGACGUCACAGAUGAUAGAAAAACAACGCCGAAACUCCUGUAACAGGUCCGUGACGUCA